rnacentral:rRNA from 1 species
GACGUAGGGCGCGAGCGUUGUCCGGACUUAUUGGGCGUAAAGAGCUCGUAGGCGGCUUGUCGCGUCGACCGUGAAAACUUGGGGCUCAACCCCAAGCCUGCGGUCGAUACGGGCAGGCUCGAGUUCGGUAGGGGAGACUGGAAUUCCUGGUGUAGCGGUGAAAUGCGCAGAUAUCAGGAGGAACACCGGUGGCGAAGGCGGGUCUCUGGGCCGAUACUGACGCUGAGGAGCGAAAGCGUGGGGAGCGAACAGG